rnacentral:rRNA from 1 species
AACGCGAAGAACCUUACCUGGGUUUGACAUGCGCAGGACGCCAGUAGAGAUAUUGGUUCCCUUGUGGCCUGUGUGCAGGUGGUGCAUGGCUGUCGUCAGCUCGUGUCGUGAGAUGUUGGGUUAAGUCCCGCAACGAGCGCAACCCUUGUCUCAUGUUGCCAGCGCGUUAUGGCGGGGACUCGUGAGAGACUGCCGGGGUCAACUCGGAGGAAGGUGGGGAUGACGUCAAGUCAUCAUGCCCCUUAUGUCCAGGGCUUCACACAUGCUACAAUGGCCGGUACAAAGGGCUGCGAUGCCGUGAGGUUAAGCGAAUCCUUUAAAGCCGGUCUCAGUUCGGAUCGGGGUCUGCAACUCGACCCCGUGAAGUCGGAGUCGCUAGUAAUCGCAGAUCAGCAACGCUGCGGUGAAUACGUUCCCGGGCCUUGUACACACCGCGCAUA